rnacentral:rRNA from 1 species
AACGAACGCUGGCGGCAGGCCUAACACAUGCAAGUCGAACGCUCGUAGCAAUACGGGAGUGGCAGACGGGUGAGUAACGCGUGGGAAUCUACCCAAUGGUACGGAAUAACUCAGGGAAACUUGAGCUAAUACCGUAUGUGCCCGAAAGGGGAAAGAUUUAUCGCCAUUGGAUGAGCCCGCGUCGGAUUAGCUAGUUGGUGGGGUAACGGCCCACCAAGGCGACGAUCCGUAGCUGGUCUGAGAGGAUGAUCAGCCACACUGGGACUGAGACACGGCCCAGACUCCUACGGGUGGCAG